AGUGAACGCUGGCGGUAGGCCUAACACAUGCAAGUCGAACGGCAGCACAGUAAGAGCUUGCUCUUACGGGUGGCGAGUGGCGGACGGGUGAGGAAUACAUCGGAAUCUACUUUUUCGUGGGGGAUAACGUAGGGAAACUUACGCUAAUACCGCAUACGACCUACGGGUGAAAGCAGGGGAUCUUCGGACCUUGCGCGUUUGAAUGAGCCGAUGUCGGAUUAGCUAGUUGGCGGGGUAAAGGCCCACCAAGGCGACGCUCCGUAGCUGGUCUGAGGGGAUGGUCAGCCACACUGGAACUGAGGCACGGUCCAGACUCCUACGGGAGGCGGCAGUGGGGAAUAUUGGAGAAUGGGCGGAAGACUGAUCCAGCCAUACCGCGUGGGUGAAGAAGGCCUUCGGGUUGUAAAGCCCUUUUGUUGGGAAAGAAAAGCAGCAGGUUAAUACCCCGCUGUUCUGACGGUACCCAAAGAAUAAGCGCCGGCUAACUUCGUG
rnacentral:rRNA from 1 species